UUGUUUAGGAUUUUUUUAUUAAAAAAAGGAAAACAACUAUCAAAUAUUCUUUUACAGUUUGUAGGAUUUUUAAAAAGGAAAUUAAUAUUACAUAAUGUUUUACAAUUAUAUUUUUUCUAGGAUUUAAAAAACAAAUUUCUAUCAAAUAACUAUUUUCAGUUAAUAUUAAAUAUUUUUAAAAGUUGAAAUUUUCAAAAUUCGUUUUUACAAUUUUUCUUGUUAAUCGAAUAAUUGUUACUAUCGUGUUUAUCAUUAAAAUUUUAAAGUAAAAACUACUAUUAAAUAAAAGUUUACAAUUCUCUCUAGUCACGAUUCAAAAGAAAAGGAAAAAAAUCUUAAUUGGUUAAGAUUAGAAAAAAAAAUUCUUUUAGAAAUCUAUUUUAUUUAAUAUUUUAGAAAAAGAAGAAGUUAUUUUCAUAUAAUGGAAGUUUUUAUUGACACAUACACAAUCUAUUUUUUAGUUGGCACAUAUCACAAUCAUAUUACAAUUCAUUUUUGUUUAACGUUUUUUUCUUAAAAGUUAAUGUUUAUCUUUUAUAAUUCUCUAUUUUUAGUAUCUUUUAAAACAAACAUUAUAAUAAAAUAUAAAAAUAACAGUAGUAACAAUAAUAAUAAUAAUAAAAAUAAUAAUAAUAAUAAUUAUUAUUAUUAUAAUAAUAAUAAUAAUAAUAAUAAUAAUAGUAAAAUUAAUAAUAAUAAGACUAUGAAAUAAUAUUUAUAAUUAAUUUUUAAGAAAAAUUGUUUUUAUUAUUUUAGUAUAUAUAUUUUGAUUAUGAUAUAGUUUAACAAAUAUCACCUUUAUAAAUAUAUUACUACCAUGUGUCACAAUCAUGUUAAUUAGCAAUUUUGAAAAACCAAGCUCAAUAUAAUCUUCUUUUUUUUUUGAAAAAGCUCAAUAUAAUCUUUUAUAGUUAUAUUUUCAUUAAAUGUUUAGAAAAGAAAAUUUAUAUUAAAUAAAUUGUUUGUGUAUGGUUUGUGUUUUCGUUGAUGCCAAAAUCUUCCAAAUGUACAUGUGCGUUUGGGAAUACGAGUAUGGUCUCACGUUAGAGAAGAGGCCUCUCAUGGAAAGGUAACUUCACUAAAUUACGUUAAAUAGAACCCUUUUUUAUUUUUAUGAAUGUUUUAAGUUCUUUAUAGUAGAAUUAUCGUUCAUAAAUAUUCUCAUCUUAAUGUCUAUUACAGAUGGAACCUCCUUGCUCUUUCACUCAAUAUCUCACAGACCGCAUCCACAAGGGUGGCACUAUAGUUGUCGAGGUACAUAUAAAAUGUUCUCUCACUUUUCGUUGCUAUCAACUUUGAAUGAAGCGGUACAUUGACUGUUUUAAUCACUUUCCAGGCUAUGUUAUUCGAAAGCGAUUGUGAAUAUUAUCAGUAAUCGGCUACGGUGCCAACAACAACUGAGGUUUUCAAGAAAACUGUCACUUUUGAUCCAAAGAAACUCAUAGGAGUCACUGUGAUUGAUGUUGUUAGAGCUAAUACUUUUGUGGUCUGCACUCAUAUAUAUUUCACUUUUCUUAUGAAUUAUGAAUGUUCACUUCUUUGUUAGCGUCUAUAACUUGGUUAAUGUGAAGGGCUAACUAGGUUAUGCCUUCAUGGCUUAUAACAGGCGGAAGUAUUGAGCUUUGAUCCUAUAGAAGUGAUUUUCCAGUUGUUGGAGGACACAUAGAAGUACGCGGCUGCCAGUGGUCAGGGGCAAAGCUAGAAUUUAUUACGACUGGGUGCAAAAUAACACAUUAGAGUAGUAUAGGGGGCAUUGAACUCAGGUUCAUAAGAAACUAUGGGUACAUCAUUACCAAAUUAGCCAUCUAUCUCCUACUUGUCUAAGGUAAAAAAUUAAAUAUCUUAAAUAGACUGGGUGCACAUGCGCCUUUAGUCAUCUAACCUAGCUUCGCCCCUGCCAAUGGUGGAGAUAAUGCUUUAGCAUAGGGGUCACUUGACCCAUGUGGAUUUUAGUAACAAAAAAGUUUACUUGUAUUUUGGAAAAAAAAACUGAAAAAUUAUCAUUAACUUAAUUCAUUGACCCAAGUAAUAUAUAUUUAUAGGGAAAUUGACCCCUCUAAAUGAUUUGGUUGGCUCUGCCACUGCAGUUUCAGUUCUAAAAAGUAUAUAUAUAAAGUUGAUUUUUUCCCUUCUUCUGACAAGUGGCGGAGGGUUUUUGCGACACGUGUCAUCCAUAUAUUUUUUUUUUACAUUUUAGGUUCUUCUUCUGUUAGAUUAUUAUAAUUUGGUCAAAUACUUUCUAAUUGUACACUACCUAAUCUUUUUCGCAAUAACUAUUAUCUUAUGAAGUUUGAUAAUCUAUUUUAUUGUUUACUAAAAUUCAAUAUGAAUAAAUAAAUAAAUAAAAUUAUAGAAAUAAAUUUUACAUAUUUAAUUUAUUCAUAACUAAAAAUAACAUAUUUUUUUGUUAUUUUAUUAUUUUUUACAAUUCUCUAUUAUUUAAUUUACCAAUUAUAUAUUUAUUUAACUAUUAAAAAAUUAAAAUGACAAGACUAAUAAAAAGAAAUUAGAGUGCAAUACAUAAUCUAAACAUAAAACUUUCACAAUCACAAAGAAAAAGCAAAAUACCAUAUUAAUACUAACUCAAUAAAAGUUUAGAGCUGAAAAAAGAUCAACAAAGAAGACUAACAUAUCUCAUCUUACCAUAAAAUAUGUUGGUUAGAAUAAGCAGAGGUCAGAAAAAGGUAAAAAGAUAGAAUAUAAGAUAAAACAAUCCCCGGAACACAAAGGAUCGUGAUCAAGCACCAGCGCAAAAAAACCAAAAAAACGGGUCAGAGAAAGAAUGAUCAUCAGAAGAACAAAGUCACCACAAAACAAAAAGACGCAUGUCUAAAGCACCAGAAGCACAACCACCAGCUAAUAGAAGCACCUCACAAACUAAACAAGUACAUACAAGGCAUCCAUGACAGCGAAGAACCACAAAACUCUGAAUAGAAGAAACCAAAGCUCCAAAAGACUAGCUCCGCACACCUACACCAAGGGAUGCAUGAGAAGAAUAUAAACAACCUUAGUGUGGGAAAACGGAAGCCAACCACCGAGAAACCAAAGCUUAAGCUUGAGACCAUAAACAACCUUCCAAGCGCACAAAACAUACACAAAGAAAAAUACUAUCCAAACUGGAGUAGCAAAUAUGGCGAAAGGGAGAGCCACCAGAGAUGUGAUCAAUGAUGAAAGGUGUAACGAGAUGAGAGAACAAAGAGAUAAGAGACAAAAUGAAAUCAAUGAACCGUGGAGCCAACCUCGAGCUAUGAAAAAAGAACAUAGAAGUCAGAUCACCAAAAACCAGAUCUUGAAAACCAAGACGAGCAGAGACUAUCGAUGGCAAACCAGCGACGAAGAAAACAACAUCAAUGACAACUAAACUCUGACCCAACCCAACGAGAUAUAGUUUCUAACCUUAGCCAAAAUCGAAAGAAAAAACUAUCAAUAUUGACCGAAAUAACAUACAACGCCGUAAGAAACUACCACACAACCUGGAACUAAUAUGCCUGAUGUAUAACAAAUACCAGAUAAUCUCACAGAGAAAAAAAGGUGAGAAAAACAAGAGCACGGAUGUGAGUCUUUUCCCAGUGAUGGUGAGAAGCAUUGCACACCGGAGAAGUAAACGAAAUACAUAGAUGGUGACGGCUCAAAGUCAAAAUAUAGGGGAAAAUGCAAAAAACAUCUAAAAAGAGUAAUAUUCAAAUAUGUGAAAAACUAAAAUACAAUUUUGACGCUGUUACUCUUAGAAUCAACAAAUUUUUAAAGAUAAAGUUAUUAAAAUUUAAUACUUUUUACAUCAGAAACUCAUUUCACCACUAAUAAGUAGUAUCAUUAAUUUAAUACUCUUUUUACAAUAAAUACUGACCACAUAAUCACAUCAUCCAAAAAUCAUAUUUAAGAACAAUAAAUCAAUAUUCUGCGCGAAGCGCGGACACCCUCCUAGUCUUUAUAUAUAAAAGAGGCUUUGUUUCUUUCCUAGAGUGUCCACAUAGGAUGACAGGUCACUAAUUCAAAGCAUAUAUGCGCGACACGUGUUCAAGUGACUUAAACUCACCGUUUCAUUUAAUCUUUUACGUGAUGGGCUUCGUCGUUUAACAUGUGGGUGUGUUUGAGGCUCUUUUACGUGAUGGACUUGAUCGUUUAUAUCUCACAGAAUAUCUAUUAACUAAGCCCAUUAUUGUUUCAUUCUAGGUCAACUGACUCGCUUCGUCUUCUCCGCAAGCAUCGUGAUCGUUCGGUCGUUAGAUCUUCUGGACAUUGAAUUUGUAGUUAGUGAUGCGUACUGCUAACGUAUGGAUUCAGUGAACAAUAUUAAAGUUUUCAUUUACAUCACUGAUCCACUCAUCCCACAACUUUUCAUUCAAUGCACCUCUUAUCUCAAUGUUUGUAGAUCUCGGUCUAUAAAAAGCGAGUUUGGAGUUGUGAAGAUCAUCACUUUCUUCUUAGUCAUUGUAAUCUUCACAAAUUCGUCAUCCCGGAAUGGCUAUUUCUUCCCAUCUGCUCGCCCACUUGAAGGCAUGAAGUCGUAACACCACAGUCCGUCGAAGUCCGGUUUUGACAAACCUUAGCGGAUAAUCAAUGAUGACUGGCGUUCAUGUUGGAACAAUCUUCUAAACUCCGAUUAGGCCAGAUUGGUGAAUGGCACCUCAAUUGCCGCAAUAAUCUAUCUAACUUGAUCCAUGAAUUUCUAAAACAAGGUCAUCGGGACAAUCACUGACUGUUACACUUCCUCUCGAUUUGUAUUCCUUCUUGGCUUCUUUUUUUUCAUUUGUGUUUCGACUGCGAUGUUUCAUGUUUGUAGCUCAACGUUUCAAAAUAUUCAACUUUAACAUUUGUUCUUGAAUAGAGAACUUGGGAGAGUUUGCUGUUACUUCUACGCUCGAUGACUUUGGUAAUGUUGCUCCUCUCUACUCUUUUUGGUUACAUACAUAAGAAAGUUAUGAACUUUAUGAAUCAAAGGCCUUUUUUUUUGUAAACUAAUUGGUAGUAGCUCAGAUAAGAAGAACACAUGGAUGAUGGUUCUGAACAAAAGUUUCAAUGGCCACCGCUUCUGUCAUUAUGACUGAGUGAACGUGUCCACCUUAUCUGUGACACUUUUCACCCCUUCCACCUAUACCUGCGCUUCCUUCGAGAUCGUUUAAUCAUCGUGAUUGCUCAUUGAACGCAACACCAACAUACACCGAUGACAUUCUGUCAGGGAGAGAGAUCAAUGGCUCCCAUUUGUGAGGUGUAUGAGACGAUGAUAAAGGUUGCUUCAAGAGCAAGCCAGAAACCAUAUACGGCGGAUGGUUUUGGGGCAUUGAAAAAAAAAAUGCUAUUGAGGAAGAUGUAAUGAUUACUUUUGUAUUGUUAGUGUUACUGAGACUUAAUUGUCAAAUUAAUCUUUUUAAGUUCUGAAUUACUUUAUCUCUUGAACUGUCUAAACAUAAAGAAGAAACGUCGUCAUCCUCUUAACAUGUAAAACAUAUGAUUAUACUCUCAAGUUAAGGUGUACAUUUCUAAUUUUCCAGACACUACUGUGUAUAGUUUGGUAUGUAUUGUCUUUCUUUUGUUUCUAUGAGUUCCCCUCCACGGUCAGCUCAAGCUAUUUACUGUCUGAGAAUAUGAUAGUGUUACUCAUUGACAAGUGUACUCCAAAAAUAAGAACAAAAAAGAAACAAAAACAAAUAUAAAAAUGAUGGCCCUGAUGUUGGAUCGACCAACUAACUUCAAAUAUAUUCAAGACUUUCAAUAUAUGAGUGUUUUGUGUUCCAUUCGUAAUUUUGGUUUUGUUUGUAAAAGUUGAAAUUAACCAUCAAAAAUUUGAGAAGUUAACAUAGAUAAUAAUAACCGUUCAAAAAAAAGCAUAGAUAAUAUGAAAUAUAAUUUCCAAUUAAGAUGAAUUACAUUUGUUAAACUGUGUUGUUUAAUUACUUUGCUACAAUAUUUUAGGUGAAAAUAUUGUUGCAUGUUACGGAGAUACACAAUAUAUAUACACAUAAUGUAAUUCAAAAAUAUACAAUGUAAUAUAAGAUAUUAAUUUUAAGAAUAAAUAAGAAGGAUUCAUAAAAAAAAAGAUGAAAAUGGUGAAUUCAUGAAUAGUUUUGUUAUAAUUUCGAGAACGUUAAUGUAAUAUUUCAAGCAAAAUAUAUCUUAUCGCAUAUAAUAUCUUAUCACCUAAAACUUUUUAAAAAGCCAAAACCAUUAUCAUACACAUUUUUUGCAAAUGCAAAUUCAAAACACAAAUCACAAAAUUAUACAAAUAAUAAUAACUUAAAUAUAUUAUGGGCGGGCCGACCCUAGUUUCUUAUAUAAUUCAGUUCUGUUAACUGAGAUGAUUGUUCUCCUUAAAUAUCUUCACAGAAGUAUUUUUUUAAAAACCUACUUUACAUUUUUACUCGAUGACUAAUUCCUCUUCGUCUUUAACAAAUUUAUUCAAAAAAUUAUUUUUUAUUACACUAAAUAGUACAUAUCACAAAGAAAUCUAACGAAUCUAAAAGAAAAGUUUCAUAUGUUUCGUCUUCGCAUCCAUCAACGUUGACCAAAUUGUCCUAUAUCUUGGCUGCUUUUGUUUUGCAGUUGUCUUUCACAUAAUCAACAAAAAACCUUGGAGAGUAGUCUUGUCAGCUUAAAUGUUAUAAAUUGUUUUGGUAGGCAUUUUACAACCAAGAACUAGGCCUGAGAUUUAUUAUCCGAGAUACGGAUUUGAUCCGAGAUCCGCUCCGAAUCCGUUCUGAAAAUAGGAUAUCCGGGAUACCCGGAUCCGAAUCCAGAUUUCUUAAUUUUUAGGUCUGGAUUCGGAUCCGUAUUUUUAAAAUACAUUAAAUUUUAAAAUUUCAUUAAAAUUUAUACAUGAAUUAAUAUUAUAAUAUGAUAUUUUAGUUUUUACAAUAUUAUAGACAUAUAUAAAUAUUUAAUUUAUGUAUUAUAUUAAAAAAAUUAGUAUUUUUUUAAAAAAUAUUAUUUUUAAUUAUUUUUACUGAUCUGGAUCCAGAUAUCCGCGAGUAAUAGAAUAUCAGGACGAAUAUCUGAAAUCUGAAUAUCCGAAAACCAUGAAUCCGGAUCCGAAUAUUAAAUUCACGAAUCCGACGGAUCCGGAUCCGAAUACUCUGAAUUUCCCAGAUAUCCGGAUCCGGGUACCCUGAAUUUUCCGGAUAUCCGGAUCCGUUCCAGGCCUACAAAGAACCAUAGCUCCGUUGGUAGAAAUAUUUAUUCUUACACACCCUUAUAAAACUUCAGACCCGGGUUUGAGUGUCAUUUUCCACCUUGUUUUUUUUUAUUACGGGCCAAAGGCCCAACAUAUUUUUUUUUGUUUUGUUUGGAUCUAUAUGUUUUCUGGAUUUGACAUAUUGUAAUUUAGUUAUUGUCAUUGUUUUUAUUUGGGUGUCUAAACCCAAAUUUGAAUAAUUUGUCUUUCUAAACCCAAAUUUAAACAUUUAGUUAUUGUCAUUGUUUUUAUUUGUGUUUUUAAAAAAGAAAAAGAAAUCUGAAAAUCUGAUAUUGUAUAUAAUCACUAAUUUAAUAAUAUUUUUAUUUUAAAUAAAUAUUUAAAUUAAAUAAUUAAUUUAAUAUGUGCACCGGUUAAAAAAGUUGCUAGAUCCACCGCUGGUGCAUCUAAUGUCAACUUCAUGCUCUUCGGUUAUCUUACCAACCAAUAGCAAGUAUUUGGUUAAACCGUUUGGUUUAAGGCAGACCUUCAAUCCUAAAGUCUUUUCAAAAAUUUCCCUCCAAGUACUUGUCUUCCAAGAGAAACAUAAGAGAUAUUAUUGUCACUUCUGAGUAACUUUACCUAUAAGCCAACAACAGCAACAUGAAACAUCUACCAAUAACUCAUCGUUAAAACCAAAGUGUUCUGGUCAUUGGUGGAGAUGGUUAUUGCGGUUGGGCUACUGCUCUCCACGUGUCUAAGAAGAACUACGAAGUUACCAUCUCAGUCAAAAUGUGACAAAAAGGAGCAAAGAUCCGACUAACAAACAUUACCAACCGGCUUUAGUUCAGAUCAUAGUAAGGAAAGCUAAUGUGAAGUCAAAUGCGCAAUAUGAACAACAUCAAUUAAUUUCAGAUCAUUGUAAGGAAAACUAAAUGGUUAUGCUGGAAACACGAAUGGGCCAUCACCAAAGACACAGUUCCUCCAUGAACACAAAAAUUUCUAUGAUUCCUCCUGUUGGGCAAAAAUUAAUAACCAAAUAUAGCAAAAUAAAACAAACAGCAAUAUGAACAACAUCAAUUAUAGAACUUCAAGCAAAAAUCAUAACACGUCAAAGAGAUUUAUUUUUUUGUUUGCCGGAAAUCACCUUAGCGUAGAAUGUUUAAUUGAAUGAGGUAUCAUUAGUGGGAUCACUUUAAUAAGAAACAUAUUUAAAAUAGAUAAUUAUUAAAUAUAAUAUAAUAUAAAAUUUUAUUUUCAUAAAAUGUAAUCUUUUAUACUACUGAAAUUUAAAUAAAAUCUAAGUGAAAUUGUUAAACCAAAUUAAGAACUACCAAAAUAUAUUUGUAUUUUAGUAAAAUUAAAAUUGAAAAUUUGAUGUAAAAAAGGGAAAAACCGAAAAAUCAUUAUGAUUUAUGACUUAAACGGCUGUCAUGAUUCCUGAUACUAAUCUUUUAACCACUACUAGAUCUUUUGUCUAUGCGUAAUCUUUUUUUUUGUCAAGUCUAUGCGUAAUCUAUUAUAAUUAGUUUUGUUUUUAUAGUUGGAAAAUUUUACCUUGUUUUGCAACAACAAAAAAUAAAUUACAUUCUUUCAGACAUUUAAUUUAGCUGCAUGCACAUUCAUGUACAUAUCCAUUUUAUUUACUACACUGAACAUUUAAAUAAAACAACUUGGAAGCCAUGAAUCAAGCAAGGUUCUCUGCUUAAUUCACAAAGAGAGAGGGCAUAAUACAUUUAAAACCAUAAACUGCAACUUAAAUACUCACAGGUGAGCUAAAGCUUAGUAGCUUGGAAGUUCUGGAUCUCUCCACGAACUCUCUAUAUGCCAUAUUGUGCUAAGGUCAUCGGCUGGGUUCUCUCUCAUGUAAAAUGUGUAGUCAUAGAGUUUAUAACGUUCUAGAUUUGUGAUCUAACGUUGCAUGAUUGAAGAUAAACAAUUAAAACUACAUUUUUAAUUCCGCUCCUAAUUUCUUUGAGGUGAAUCUAUCCGUUUCUUGACAUUAAAAAAAAUCCAUCACCGUCCUUAUUCACCUCACUCUAAAAAUAAGUAAAAGUAAGUCGUGUUGGUUCCAUUCAAGAAUAUAUAGAUUCAAGUGUUUGAUUUAAUAAAAUCACAAAUGAUGCCAAAAUCAAUAAAAUCAUGCAUGCAAGUUUAAACAUAGAACAUAUCCACUAAUCAAAUCGUGAAUUAAAAACAGUCUAUGAUGCAACCACUGAAGUCAAAUUAUGAAAUUCAGAUAAUAGAUUAUUUGGAGAGUCAAUUUGAAUCAAACAAAUUUAUAUACUAGUUUGAAAGAAUAAUAAACCAUGCUCUAACAAUAGUAAAACAAUCCAUGGGUUCAAAGCAAAGAUAGCGUAAAACAUCCCCUAUCCAGUAAACUCAAAUCAUUACGUAGCAUAGAACAAAAUUCACUUUAAAAUCAUUCAUUGUUUAGGUUGGUUAAAACAAACACUAUAUGGCCUUCUCAAACUACAUACAAUCCAAACAUUUACAAAGUAACUUUAGAAAAGGUAUUAUCCACACACAUACCAGUUAUAGAUAUAACAUUAGUGAACCUUUUAUUGGGUAUAGUUUAAGACAUACAUAUAUUCCUUCAAAAUAAUUAAUCACCACACUAACUAUUACAAAAAAGUUUAAAAAGUCAGAAGUAUAGAUGGUAUUAUCCGCGACCAUACCAAAAAAAAAAUCAAAGAUCACAUUCAGACAUAACAAAAAAGGGCCAAUAGUGGUUUAGGCAACAAACCAAUUACAAGAACUGUGUCUAAUGAGAACAUGCCAUAUCUAAUUUUAUAGUCUUAUGAAGUCUUUAAAAGAUAUAUAAAGCAUUUUUAAUCAACAAAACUAACACCUAAAUUCAGAUUUUCCAUAUUAAACAUAAAAAGCAGCAAUAAAUAUUAUCUUCUUGGAAGGUUAUAUAUGAGUAAGAUAAUAGACAAGACCAGGUGAAAAAUAUUAAGAGAUUACAACUGAAAUUACCUCAAGCUACAAUGCACAAUAUGUAGUGGAAAAUGGCCCUUAAUUUAACAAUCAUUUAUACAGUUUCUUGAAACAUUUGCCUUCAGAGUAAACGAAGCUGAAUUUUAUACAUAAAUAUCUCUCCUAAGAGUCAAGAACUUCUAAGUUUAACAACCACUAUUAUAGCAAAUAUACGAUUUUUGUAACCAAAUAAAAUUUUAGGCAUAGAAUAUAGCCUACCUAAAAACCUAGAAGAUUAGAGCACAUAUGAUGCAUACCUACAAAAGAGAUGUGACAACAUUGGAGUUCAGCUGCUAAUUCUUACCCUUUUCUUACAUCAAUCAUAGAUAUAGUAUUAAAAGAACAUAAUAGAGAAAUCAAGAAAGAUCUAUUGCACAUGCUAAAUAAAUACACCAAUGGUUUAAAAGAUUUCCAAAACCAUCAACUCUAUACGACUAAAAGAUAAAAGCUAGUAACACAACCAAAUCUAUUUUUUGCUCAGUGUACAUUAAAAACUCAUGUAAAUAGCACUUAGAUAAUAUAUAACAAUAA